UGAUAAGUAGAGUAGAAAAUUUGAGUGUAUCAAGUAUAAGAGAAUAGUUGUGUGGAGAAUGCUGAAUCUUAAGAACAAAUGAAGCAUAAAACAAAAAUUUGUUCUGGACAUGUUCUAAACUUGGCUAGUCCUUCAUAAGAUAAGGGUGCCACACUAUCUCACCAUAUUCUAAGAUUGAAAAACCAAGGCUAAAUAGAGCGCAGAGGCAAUUAGCAGAGUUAAAAUUUGU